rnacentral:rRNA from 1 species
CGAAAGCCUGACGCAGCGACGCCGCGUGUGGGAUGACGGCCUUCGGGUUGUAAACCACUGUCGGGAGGGACGAAUGCGCCGCAAGGCGAGUGACGGUACCUCCAAAGGAAGCACCGGCUAACUCCGUGCCAGCAGCCGCGGUAAUACGGAGGGUGCGAGCGUUAUCCGGAUUUACUGGGCGUAAAGCGUGUGCAGGCGGUUCGGCAAGUUGGAUGUGAAAGCUCCUGGCUUAACUAGGAGAGGUCGUUCAAUACUACCGAACUUGAAGGCAUCAGAGGAAGAUGGAAUUCCCGAUGUAGUGGUGAAAUGCGUAGAUAUCGGGAGGAACACCAGUGGCGAAGGCGGUCUUCAGGGAUGUUCUUGACGCUCAUACACGAAAGCUAGGGUAGCGAACGGGAUUAGAGACCCCGGUAGUCCUAGCAGUAAACGAUGUAGACUUGGUGUCGGAGGUGUCAAAACCUUCGGUAUCGUAGCUAACGCGAUAAGUCUACCGCCUGGGGACUACGGCCGCAAGGUUA